UUAUUUAUAGUGGGGGCUGUCAAGAUUCAGUUACCAUGUAGUUGGGAGAGAUCCUGUCAUAAGACCACCACAAUCCUCUUGUCUUUCUCUUUUUCUCUGUGUUUUGAGAGAUUCAAGAAAAUCUUGGUGACCCAAUUCAAGAAUCUUCAAGAAAUUGUAAUGGCUACAGUUAGCUAUUCUCAGAACAUAAUGGAUGAUGAAUAUGAAAAAUUCAUAAGAAGAAUGAAUCCACCAAGAGUGGUGAUUGACAAUGAUUCUUGCAAAAAUGCUACUGUUAUACAGGUGGAUAGUGCUAACAAACAUGGAAUACUUUUAGAGGUGGUACAAGUUUUAACUGAUCUUAAUCUUGUUAUCACUAAGGCUUAUAUUUCAUCUGAUGGUGGAUGGUUCAUGGAUGUUUUCAAUGUGACUAAUCAAGAAGGGAACAAGAUUACAGACGAAGCGAUGUUGGAUUAUAUCAUGAAGUCUCUUGGUCCGGAUUCUAGUUUCGCGUCAUCAAUGAGACGAUCAGUUGGAGUUACUACAGGAAUGGACUACACUUCAAUUGAGUUAAUCGGAAGUGAUAGACCGGGGCUAUUGUCUGAGGUGAGCGCUGUCCUCACGAAUCUCAAAUGCAAUGUGGUUAAUGCUGAGGUGUGGACUCAUAACACCCGAGCAGCAGCUAUAAUGCAAGUUAAGGAUGAGGAAACGGGAGGUACAAUUAAAGAUCCGGAAAGGUUGUCUAUGAUGAAGCAACUUUUGUGCAAUGUACUUAGAUGUAGCAAUAAAUUAAGGGAUGCAAAAACAAUAGUAUCUGACGGGGUCUCUCAUACCGAGAGAAGGCUUCACCAGCUAAUGUUUGCAGACCGAGACUAUGAACGUGCUGCUGGUGAAGUGUUGGAUGAAUAAGAGAGGCCUAAUGUGAGUGUCGUUAAUUGGCACGACAAGGACUACUCCGUUGUGACAAUCCGGUGCAAGGAUAGACCAAAGCUUCUAUUUGAUACAAUUUGUACAUUGACCGAUAUGCAGUAUGUGGUUUUCCAUGGUAAUGUUGAUGCUGAAGGACCAGUAGCCCAACAGGAGUACUGCAUAAGACAUAUAGAUGGUUCCCCGGUGAAAUCAGAUGCAGAACGACAACGAGUGAUUCAAUGUCUUGAAGCAGCUAUAGAAAGAAGGGUAUCUGAGGGAUUGAAACUAGAACUAUGUACCACGGACAGAGUAGGACUACUCUCCGAUGUUACUAGGAUCUUCCGCGAGAACAGCCUCACCGUCACCAGAGCAGAAGUGACAACUAGAGCUGGCAAAGCUGUUAAUAUAUUCUACGUUCGCGAUUCAUCAGGAUAUCCUGUUGAUGCUAAGAUCAUAGAAUCCGUUCGUCAGACAAUCGGACAGACGAUUCUUAGUGUGAAAGGCAACAUUGCAAAGUUAAAUCCAGUUCCACAAGAAUCUCCAACCAGGUUUCUUUUUGGUGGUCUAUUCAAGUCUAGAUCCUUUUGUAAUUUCGGGUUGGUUAGGUCGUAUUCUUGAAAGACACUCGAUCUAGUCCUCGUCGUGUGUACAUUUGAUCCCCUCUGCAUCAUCAAACCUACAUUGGUUCUUGCUAGGUUUAAAGGCAUGUCAUUUGUCUGUAAAUAUGUUUUCAUGAUCGUUUUGCUAUGUUCAUUGGUUAUGGUUCAAUACCAUGUUGACCCAAU